GAUGAACGCUGGCGGCGUGCCUAAUACAUGCAAGUCGAGCGAACAGAUAAGGAGCUUGCUCCUUUGACGUUAGCGGCGGACGGGUGAGUAACACGUGGGUAACCUACCUAUAAGACUGGAAUAACUCCGGGAAACCGGGGCUAAUGCCGGAUAACAUUUAGAACCGCAUGGUUCUAAAGUGAAAGAUGGUUUUGCUAUCACUUAUAGAUGGACCCGCGCCGUAUUAGCUAGUUGGUAAGGUAACGGCUUACCAAGGCAACGAUACGUAGCCGACCUGAGAGGGUGAUCGGCCACACUGGAACUGAGACACGGUCCAGACUCCUACGGGAGGCAGCAGUAGGGAAUCUUCCGCAAUGGGCGAAAGCCUGACGGAGCAACGCCGCGUGAGUGAUGAAGGUCUUCGGAUCGUAAAACUCUGUUAUUAGGGAAGAACAAAUGUGUAAGUAACUAUGCACGUCUUGACGGUACCUAAUCAGAAAGCCACGGCUAACUACGUGCCAGCCGCCGCCGUAAUAC
rnacentral:rRNA from 1 species